GUGCAGCAGUCGCGAAAACUCCGCAAUACGCGAAAGCGUGACGGGGCCACCCCGAGUGCCGUCCGCUGAGGAUGGCUUUUCCCUAGUGUAAAUAGCUGGGGGAAUAAGGAGAGGGCAAGUCUGGUGUCAGCCGCCGCGGUAAUACCAGCUCUCCGAGUGGUAGGGAUGAUUAUUGGGCCUAAAGCGUCCGUAGCCGGCUGGGCAAGUCCCCCGUUAAAUCCAACGAUUCAAUCGUUGGAUUGCGGGGGAUACUGUUCGGCUAGGGGGCGGGAGAGGCCGACGGUAUUCCCGGGGUAGGGGUGAAAUCCUAUAAUCCCGGGAGGACCACCAGUGGCGAAGGCUGUUGGCUAGAAC
rnacentral:rRNA from 1 species